rnacentral:rRNA from 1 species
AUUGAACGCUGGCGGCAGGCUUAACACAUGCAAGUCGAACGAGUGGCAGACGGGUGAGUAAUGUCUGGGAAACUGCCUGAUGGCGGGGGAUAACUACUGGAAAGGGUAGCUAAUACCGCAUACCAUUGGAUGUGCCCAGAUGGGAUUGGCUAGUAGGUGGGGUAAAGGCUCACCAAGGCGACGAUCCGUAGCUGGUCUGAGAGGAUGACCAGCCACACUGGAACUGAGAAACGGUCCAGAAUCCUACGGGAGGCAGCAGUGGGGAAGAUUGCACAAUUGGCGCAAGCCUGAUGCAGCCAUGCCGCGUGGAUGAAGAAGGCCUUUGGGUUGUAAAGUACUUGCGGCGGGGAGGCGUGAGCCGCAGAAGAAGCACCGGCUAACUACGUGCCAGCAGCCGCGGUAAUUC